rnacentral:rRNA from 1 species
GAUGAACGCUGGCGGCGUGCCUAAUACAUGCAAGUCGAGCGAACGGACGAGAAGCUUGCUUCUCUGAUGUUAGCGGCGGACGGGUGAGUAACACGUGGAUAACCUACCUAUAAGACUGGGAUAACUUCGGGAAACCGUAGCUAAUACCGGAUAAUAUUUUGAACCGCAUGGUUCAAUAGUGAAAGACGGUCUUGCUGUCACUUAUAGAUGGAUCCGCGCUGCAUUAGCUAGUUGGUAAGGUAACGGCUUACCAAGGCAACGAUGCGUAGCCGACCUGAGAGGGUGAUCGGCCACACUGGAACUGAGACACGGUCCAGACUCCUACGGGAGGCAGCAGUAGGGAAUCUUCCGCAAUGGGCGAAAGCCUGACGGAGCAACGCCGCGUGAGUGAUGAAGGUCUUCGGAUCGUAAAACUCUGUUAUUAGGGAAGAACAAAUGUGUAAGUAACUAUGCACGUCUUGACGGUACCUAAUCAGAAAGCCACGGCUAACUACGUG